rnacentral:hammerhead_ribozyme from 1 species
AUCUAGGUGGCGAGUCUCAAAUAGGAUGAAACGUGCGUCCUGGAU